rnacentral:rRNA from 1 species
UUGCUGAAUUAUUCACCCUUGUCUUUUGCGUACUUCUUGUUUCCUUGGUGGGUUCGCCCACCACUAGGACAAACAUAAACCUUUUGUAAUUGCAAUCAGCGUCAGUAACAAAUUAAUAAUUACAACUUUCAACAACGGAUCUCUUGGUUCUGGCAUCGAUGAAGAACGCAGCGAAAUGCGAUAAGUAGUGUGAAUUGCAGAAUUCAGUGAAUCAUCGAAUCUUUGAACGCACAUUGCGCCCUUUGGUAUUCCAAAGGGCAUGCCUGUUCGAGCGUCAUUUGUACCCUCAAGCUUUGCUUGGUGUUGGGCGUCUUGUCUCUAGCUUUGCUGGAGACUCGCCUUAAAGUAAUUGGCAGCCGGCCUACU